rnacentral:rRNA from 1 species
AGCGAACGGACGAGAAGCUUGCUUCUCUGAUGUUAGCGGCGGACGGGUGAGUAACACGUGGAUAACCUACCUAUAAGACUGGGAUAACUUCGGGAAACCGGAGCUAAUACCGGAUAAUAUUUUGAACCGCAUGGUUCACAAGUGAAAGACGGUCUUACUGUCACUUAUAGAUGGAUCCGCGCUGCAUUAGCUAGUUGGUAAGGUAACGGCUUACCAAGGCAACGAUGCAUAGCCGACCUGAGAGGGUGAUCGGCCACACUGGAACUGAGACACGGUCCAGACUCCUACGGGAGGCAGCAGUAGGGAAUCUUCCGCAAUGGGCGAAAGCCUGACGGAGCAACGCCGCGUGAGUGAUGAAGGUCUUCGGAUCGUAAAACUCUGUUAUUAGGGAAGAACAAAUGUGUAAGUAACUAUGCACGUCUUGACGGUACCUAAUCAGAAAGCCACGGCUAACUACGUGCCAGCAGCCGCGGUAAUACGUAGGUGGCAAGCGUUAUCCGGAAUUAUUGGGCGUAAAGCGCGCGUAGGCGGUUUUUUAAGUCUGAUGUGAAAGCCCACGGCUCAACCGUGGAGGGUCAUUGGAAACUGGAAAACUUGAGUGCAGAAGAGGAAAGUGGAAUUCCAUGUGUAGCGGUGAAAUGCGCAGAGAUAUGGAGGAACACCAGUGGCGAAGGCGACUUUCUGGUCUGUA